GCACUACGAACAAACAAACAAACGAUUUCAGAUAAAGAAAGACAAUUGUCGAAUCCAUCGUGAAUCAUCAAGUGUUUCGUCAUUUCAAUGAUUUAGCAUUUUUAAGAAGUUAAAAAUGUUUGUUCACGCAUUUUAAUUUCUUGUCAAAUCGAUUCGACAAUGAUUUCCCUCCACUUUUAUCGAAUCUAUGUGGAACAAAUUUUUAGAACUGUAUACAUUCACAGCGUAGUAUAGAUUCAAUAUAUAUAUAUAUACUAAGACCCAUAUCAGAAGCAGAACUCAUAUCAAACGAAUCAUACAAAUAAAAGAAAUCUCCGCCAUUUUGCAAAGUAUAACACUUUCUCGAAACGUAAUUUAAACAAAUUGAGUCAAACAGCGCAGUAACCAUUAACAUUUUACUUUGUGUAAAGUCGGAAGAAGAGAGGAUAUUUUGCUUGUUUGUUGAAAGACAGAAAUAACACAGGCGGUCGAACUUCGUUUUAUCAGUGGACAACAAAAUGGGACAAACACUAUCCGAACCGGUAACUGAAAAAGAAUCAGCUCAUUGCCAAAACGAUGAACUCGCGAUCAACGAUUUGUACGAACGACACUAGCUUAAACUAUGCAGUAUGGUUUGGUGUAUGUGCAAAGCAUACGAAAUGUAUCCAUACCGAAGAAGAAGAAGAAGAAGAAGAAAACAUGAAUUCAGAAUGUUCUGAAAAUUGAAUAUAUAAAAUGAAACGUUGCACAUUAUUUAGUGAAUAAAAGUCAAUCUCAAUGUUAACCAUGAAUUCAUGGCAUGGUA